rnacentral:rRNA from 1 species
CGGAGGGUUAGCGUUGUUCGGAAUGACUGGGCGUAAAGACGCGCGUAGGCGGAUCAUCAAGUCGGGUGAAAUCCCGGGGCUCAACCCCGGAAUGGCCUUCGAGACUGGUGGUCUUGAGUUCGAGAGAGGUGAGUGGAAUUCCGAGUGUAGAGGUGAAAUUCGUAGAUAUUCGGAGGAACACCAGUGGCGAAAGGCGGCUCACUGGCUCGACACUGACGCUGAGGUGCGAAAGCGUGGGAGGCAAACAGGAUU